AACGAAACGUGGCUGAAUUUAAGCGAAAGGUUUUUAAUCUUUUCAUAGUCCAG
rnacentral:tRNA from 1 species